UACAGAGGGUGCGAACGUUGCUCGGAAUUACUGGGCGUAAAGCGCGUGUAGGCGGAUCCAUAAGUCGGGCGUGAAAGCCCCAGGCUCAACCUGGGAACUGCGUUCGAAACUGUGGGUCUUGAGUGUCGGAGAGGAUGGCGGAAUUCCUGGUGUAGAGGUGAAAUUCGUAGAUAUCAGGAGGAACACCGGUGGCGAAGGCGGCCAUCUGGACGACAACUGACGCUGAGACGCGAAAGCGUGGGGAGCAAACAGG
rnacentral:rRNA from 1 species